rnacentral:rRNA from 1 species
GCCAGCAGCCAUUUCACUCUGCAACUCAUAACUAGCAACCCACUGAAGCUAAGCAGGUGUGAGCCUGGUCAGUACCUUGAUGUGAGACCUCCUGGGAAAAACUAAGGUUGCUGCUGGAA